AUUAGCUAGUUGGUGAGGUAACGGCUCACCAAGGCGACGAUCAGUAGGGGUUCUGAGAGGAAGGUCCCCCACAUUGGAACUGAGACACGGUCCAAACUCCUACGGGAGGCAGCAGUGAGGAAUAUUGGUCAAUGGACGGAAGUCUGAACCAGCCAAGUCGCGUGAAGGAUGAAGGUUCUAUGGAUUGUAAACUUCUUUUGUCUGAGGGUAAAAAAGGCCACGUGUGGCUUCUUGCAAGUAUCAGACGAAUAAGCAUCGGCUAACUCCGUGCCAGCAGCCGCGGUAAUACGGAGGAUGCGAGCGUUAUCCGGAUUUAUUGGGUUUAAAGGGUGCGCAGGCGGUUUGUUAAGUCAGUGGUAAAAGCGUGUGGCUCAACCAUACCAAGCCAUUGAAACUGGCGAACUUGAGUGCAAACGAGGUAGGCGGAAUGUGAUGUGUAGCGGUGAAAUGCUUAGAUAUGUCACAGAACCCCGAUUGCGAAGGCAGCUUACCAGCAUGCAACUGACGCUCAGGCACGAAGGCGUKGKUUUCAAACAGGAUUAGAUACCCUGGUAGUCCACGCAGAACACCYCUACUAGCUGUUGGCGAUAUAAUGUCAGCGGUAAAGCGAAAGUAUUAAGUAUCCACC
rnacentral:rRNA from 1 species